rnacentral:rRNA from 1 species
UAAUACGGAGGGGGCAAGCGUUGUUCGGAAUUAUUGGGCGUAAAGCGCGUGUAGGCGGUGAGGUAGGUCAAACGUGAAAGUCAACGGCUCAACCGGGGAAUUGCGUUUGAUACUGUCUUACUGGAGUACGGGAGAGGAGAGUGGAAUUCCUAGUGUAGCAGUGAAAUGCGUAGAUAUUAGGAAGAACACCGGUGGCGAAGGCGGCUCUCUGGCCCGUUACUGACGCUGAGACGCGAAAGCUAGGGGAGCGAACGGGAUUAGAUACCCCGGUAGUCCUAGCCGUAAACGAUGGGCACUAGGUGAAGGAGGUAUCGAUCCCUUCUGUGCCGUAGCUAACGCAUUAAGUGCCCCGCCUGGGGAGUACGGUCGCAAGGCUG